rnacentral:rRNA from 1 species
UACGUAGGUGGCAAGCGUUGUCCGGAUUUAUUGGGUUUAAAGGGUGCGUAGGCGGUCUAUUAAGUCAGUGCUGAAAUAUUCCGGCUUAACCGGGAGGGUGGCAUUGAUACUGAUGGACUUGAGUAAAGUUGAGGUUGGCGGAAUUGACGGUGUAGCGGUGAAAUGCUUAGAUAUCGUCAAGAACACCUAUUGCGAAGGCAGCUAACUAAGCUUAAACUGACGCUGAGGCACGAAAGUGUGGGGAUCAAACAGG